UUAAAAGAAUUUGAAAAGCAGAGUAAUUAUUGCUUAAUUGUUACAGAGAAUUAUCGGUUGGUGAGAGAUAAGCAAUUGAAGGUAAUGAAGAUGGGCUUGGAUAUCAGUGUUAGCGAUAAGUAGCUAACAACGGCGUUGUGAACCGUUAGCUGUCACAAACUAUGUUGGUAGUUAAUAAGAUUCAUUGCGCGAGUAAUGGAUAAAUUAAAGGUGGUAACGCGAAGCACUCGUCCUUUUU
rnacentral:ncRNA from 1 species